rnacentral:rRNA from 1 species
GUGGGGAAUCUUGCGCAAUGGGCGAAAGCCUGACGCAGCCAUGCCGCGUGAAUGAUGAAGGUCUUAGGAUUGUAAAAUUCUUUCACCGGGGACGAUAAUGACGGUACCCGGAGAAGAAGCUCCGGCUAACUUCGUGCCAGCAGCCGCGGUAAUACGAAGGGGGCUAGCGUUGCUCGGAAUUACUGGGCGUAAAGGGCGCGUAGGCGGACAGCUUAGUCAGAGGUGAAAGCUCAGGGCUCAACCUUGGAAUUGCCUUUGAUACUGGCUGUCUUGAGUUUGGGAGAGGUGAGUGGAACUCCGAGUGUAGAGGUGAAAUUCGUAGAUAUUCGGAAGAACACCAGUGGCGAAGGCGACUCACUGGCCCAAUACUGACGCUGAGGCGCGAAAGCGUGGGGAGCAAACAGGAUUAGAAACCCCGGUAGUCC